GGGGUUGUGGCUCAGUGGUAGAGCGUUUACCUAGCAUGCAUGAGGCACUGGGUUCAAUCCCCAGCACCACA
rnacentral:tRNA from 1 species